CGACCGCUGGCGGCAUGCUUACCACAUGCAAGUCGCCCGGGCAGCAAUGUCAGUGGCGGACGGGUGAGUAACGCGUAGGAACGUGUCCUGAGGUGGGGGACAACCCCGGGAAACUGGGGCUAAUACCGCAUAUGGGCUGAGGCCCAAAGCCGAGAGGCGCCUUUGGAGCGGCCUGCGUCCGAUUAGGUAGUUGGUGGGGUAAAGGCCUACCAAGCCUGCGAUCGGUAGCUGGUCUGAGAGGACGACCAGCCACACUGGGACUGAGACACGGCCCAGACUCCUACGGGAGGCAGCAGUGGGGAAUAUUGGACAAUGGGCGAAAGCCUGAUCCAGCAAUGCCGCGUGGGUGAAGAAGGUCUUCGGAUCGUAAAGCCCUUUCGACGGGGACGAUGAUGACGGUACCCGUAGAAGAAGCCCCGGCUAACUUCGUG
rnacentral:rRNA from 1 species